CUUAUCCAAAGUAACUGAGAAUAUGAAAGCGACCCAUGCCGAACACAGAAGUUAAGCCCUAGAACGCCGGAAGUAGUUGGGGGUUGCCCCCUGUGAGAUAGGGAAGUCGCUUAGCU
rnacentral:rRNA from 1 species